UACGAAGGGUGCAAGCGUUACUCGGAAUUACUGGGCGUAAAGCGUGCGUAGGCGGUUUGUUAAGUCUGUCGUGAAAGCCCCCGGGCUCAACCUGGGGAAUGGCGAUGGAAACUGGCGAGCUAGAGUACGGUAGAGGAGAGUGGAAUUCCCGGUGUAGCAGUGAAAUGCGUAGAGAUCGGGAGGAACAUCAGUUGCGAAGGCGGCUCUCUGGACCAGUACUGACGCUGAGGCACGAAAGCGUGGGGAGCAAACAGG
rnacentral:rRNA from 1 species